UUAUCUCUGCACAGUAGUCAGAUCGAUAUUCUUUCAAAGCCCUUCGAGUUCAGAACGUGAAUAAGUGGGUUAAGCUGUAGAGGGAAAAAAAAGCGAAAAGCUUUUGAAUUUCAGUUGAUUAGUAAAAACUGGACUGAGACGUCCGAGUUUUCUGAAGGAUUCUUCUUCGUUGGUGGAAUUUUUUAUUUUUUUUUUCCUUUUCAUGUCCAGGAUGUUGCAGGAUUAUUUAUUUUUGUUUUCCUUUUGUGAUAUCAGUUUAAAUCACUGUACAAAUGCCCCAUCAUUAAAUUGAAAUAUUUUUUAUAUUUUUUUCUUUGGUUUCCUGACUUUUAUGUUUGUUUUUUUUUUUUGUUCCUUUUUUACAUGUAACUACCUCACUCUUUUGUAAAAUGUGUAGAAAACGGUCACCUGUAAUCCAUCCCCUGCUCUCCUCACCCACUAGUCUUUUAUGGACAAUGUUACUGUUCUCUCUGUGUUUGGUGGACCUCCUGAAGAACGCGGCCUCGUUUGCAGGCCCGUGGAGUGAAGGGGGGGGUAUCAUUAGAGGCCAGCUUCGCCACCCGGACCCCUCCAGGGCCAGCAUGUGAAUGAAUGGCUUGCUUCAGCCCGUCCUAUCACUGUGCAGUCCUGAGAAGAUCCCCAUCCAGACGGUGUUCCGGGGAGCGCUCAGUAGAUCUCUGCAGCAGCAGCUAGACGAGCCCCCCCUCCACUCUGCCACAGCCACCUGUCCUCCGAUAAAUCCGCUGGCAGUGAUGGUUUUGUCAAAUUCACAGGAACGACAGAAAGAGCCGGCGACGAUCUGUGAUUGGGCAGCUGCUUUGGAUGCCGUUAUGAUGUCAUGCGUCACCUUGUCGCCACGACGACGGGAACAGCCGGAAGCUGCUGCGGCUUUAGUUCCGGCACGCCAAAGCAUUUGCCCCCCCAUGCUUAAUCAGUAACAGCCCCCCCCCCCCAUAGUGAAAGUCCUGCGUGUGACAGUUAUUGAAUUACUUUUAAACGCUUUUUAAAAAUCCCAUGAAUUACAUGUGGGGCAUUAAAUCAUUCUGCAACCAAUCAUGAACAUUUGCGGAGUUUUAUCUCUCCUUUUUAUACUGCCAGUAGAAUCUGGAGACUUGGCAGAAGGGAUCUUACAGAAACCGUGACUAGACAGUCCCGCUAAUGUGACUGUCCUGCAUGUCCUAAUUCCCAGCAGCCCCUAGUCUUGGGGACGAGGACAGCUGGCGGACCGACUGUGAAUGACAUGCCUUCCUCAGCUACCUGCUUUGCCCCCAUGAGAUGCAGUGAAGAAACUGACUUCAGAAGCUGUCAUUCCUGACCUCCGUCCAGCCAUCCUCCUUCAUACACGUGCGUCUUCCUGUCCAGAUACGCUCCAGGCGGUGGUGAUCCUGUCGACCUUCUGUCUUUCAUGCCAUUCCAGUCCAUUGAUGGGGAGAAGCCUGCAUCUGCCACCUUCAUCUCCAUGGAGGGACAGGUGGUGGGCGGGGCCUGUCACUGGCUCCUCCUUCUGCUCCACCUGCUGCUGUUGGCCGGGCCCAUUUUUGCUGCCAAGUGGCUUCCUGGGCGAUUCUGUACUGGAAGAUACCAUUAUUUUAUAGUGACAAAGGAUCUAUGUCAAAAUUUAUCAAAAUGAAGAUUAAACCAGGGAUGCUGAAGAUACAGAAGUCAUAUUUCUAUUUUUUAGAAGUCUGAGACAGGGAUAACAAGUAAUAAUGGGAAGGUAUACUUUACAUUUUUCCUUUGGAUUGAAAUUGGGGGAUAGUGAGUUGAGACUCGAGCAUUCCUGGAUUAAAAUUGGUUUUAUUUGGCACUAGUUGAGGGAAACAGGAUCUCCUGAAAGCCUUUCGGCAGGGCUGAUCAGGUAAAUGCAUGUCACAGGGUUACCUCCAGCUCCACGCUUUCUACCAGUUGGUUAUUGGUUACUACACUGUGCGGCUGUGAUUGAAGCAGUCAGUGCGCGUGUUCUGCAGAUGUAGGUCAUGAUAGUAGCCAGCGGUCAGAUGGGGAUCGAUCAUGUCUUGUUAUAGAAUCUGUAGGUCGUUUCUUCACCGCCAUUUCUUUGAAAGUGGCGAGGAGUCAGCUCAGUAUUGUUAAGGCUUCCUUGGAGUUCUGCGUGUGUCGUUCUUGGGAUUAAAUAAGAUGUAGAAGCAGGUCAAUGACAUUGUAAGACUAGUUCUGCGGUUAAUGAAUUUACCAUCUCCCAUGUUGCAGUUGGCCAUCCUGGUUUCCUAGAGGGAAUUUGAUUUGCAGGUUUAGCUGUAAUAUAUCUUUUUUUCUUGUUCUGCAUUAGUGAUUUAGUUGGAUGGCUGGUAGCAACCCACAGCCUGAUUUCUGUAUCUGAUGGUUCCUGGUUUAAACUCAAACUGUCACAUGGUAUCGCCACGGUCUUUGGGUUUGUAUCUGCAAUCCCAGUAAUGGAGGUUGGCGUUUUUUUUUGUUUGUUUGUUUUUUGUGCAAACUGAAAUGUCAGGUCUGUCCGUAUCUCCUAGACACCUGCUAGUUUCAGAACCCAGUCAAUCAGCAUUAAUGAAAUGCCACAGAACGUGGCGGCUGCAAUGUAGCCAGCAGCUCUGGGGGUGAAAUGGGCCAAUUGGCUUGGUCCCUUUGAGGGGGAAGGGGGUGUUUUGUACAGACAUCUAAGAAAUAAAUGUCUCUUUCAGGGUUUAGUGAUGACUGACUGUCAGUUGUUUCCAUUUCACCACCAUGGCCCAGCUGCAUUUUCAGAGCAGCUCAGAAUUUACGGGCCAGAAAAACUCACAAAAAUGCAAAUAUUUUUCACACUGUGUCCAUAGUAAGAGAUGGGGACAGACCAGGCUUCAGGGUGUAUCUCCUGGUCUUCUGGGAGAUAGCUAACUGUACAGACAAGACCUGGAAUUCGGUCAAUUUGCCUGAGGUCAGAUGAUGGAGCGCGGCGCAGAGGGACAGCGCCCACCUACCGGAUGUGUCCCAGACGCCUCCUGCUGGCCUCCUCACCCCCCCCCAGCAUCUCUGACCACCUGUAGCUGGGUGCUGACGGUGUCCAGCAGGCAUCAGUUUCCUCAGUUUAACCACUGGAAAGACACGCAGAACUGACAUUGUACAGUUUCCUUUUUCACACUUUUUUAAAAAUCUUGUUUGAUCAGAUCAGAAAGCUGGCCAAUAUCUAGAAUUUGCUGUAUGUAAAUUAUUCAUUCAGAUUCCUGUGUUUAUAUUAAAUGAUUCAGUAGAGUGAGAAGGUUUCGAGUUUUUGUAUAUUCUGUUCUAAGAAUUUAUUCCUGCUAUCAAUAUUAUCUGAAUUCUUUACAUUACGGGGAAACUGAACAGUCUUUGGCUGAAAAAGAAGAGAAUUUUAGUUUCUCAAUCUUGCUUUUUUCUAGUAAAAUACUACAAGUUCUAAGUUAAAUAAAAAAGUAUGCAACUCU